CUGGGUCCACCUCCCACCCGUGUUUAUUUUACCUUGUUGCUUCGGCGGGCCCGCCUUAACUGGCCGCCGGGGGGCUUACGCCCCCGGGCCCGCGCCCGCCGAAGACACCCUCGAACUCUGUCUGAAGAUUGUAGUCUGAGUGAAAAUAUAAAUUAUUUAAAACUUUCAACAACGGAUCUCUUGGUUCCGGCAUCGAUGAAGAACGCAGCGAAAUGCGAUACGUAAUGUGAAUUGCAAAUUCAGUGAAUCAUCGAGUCUUUGAACGCACAUUGCGCCCCCUGGUAUUCCGGGGGGCAUGCCUGUCCGAGCGUCAUUGCUGCCCUCAAGCACGGCUUGUGUGUUGGGCCCCGUCCUCCGAUCCCGGGGGACGGGCCCGAAAGGCAGCGGCGGCACCGCGUCCGGUCCUCGAGCGUAUGGGGCUUUGUCACCCGCUCUGUAGGCCCGGCCGGCGCUUGCCGAUCAACCCAAAUUUUUAUCCAGGUUGACCUCGGAUCAGGUAGGGAUACCCGCUGAACUUAAGCAUAUCAAUAAGCGGAGGAA
rnacentral:rRNA from 1 species